GACGAACGCUGGCGGCGUGCUUAACACAUGCAAGUCGAACGGAAAGGCCCCUUUGGGGGUACUCGAGUGGCGAACGGGUGAGUAACACGUGAGUAACCUGCCCUUGACUUCGGGAUAACUUCAGGAAACUGGGGCUAAUACCGGAUAGGAAUCCUUGCUGCAUGGUGGGGGUUGGAAAGCUUCGGCGGUUUUGGAUGGACUCGCGGCUUAUCAGCUUGUUGGUGGGGUAGUGGCUUACCAAGGCUUUGACGGGUAGCCGGCCUGAGAGGGCGACCGGCCACAUUGGGACUGAGAUACGGCCCAGACUCCUACGGGAGGCAGCAGUGGGGAAUAUUGCACAAUGGGCGGAAGCCUGAUGCAGCAACGCCGCGUGCGGGAUGACGGCCUUCGGGUUGUAAACCGCUUUCAGCAGGGGCGAAGCUUGUGGUGACGGUACCUGCAGAAAAAGCACCGGCUAACUACGUG
rnacentral:rRNA from 1 species